GUCAAAGAAGUAAAACAACAGCAACACUCGGUUCAAGAGCAAUCCAACAUCCUUCAUGCAGGAUUUCAUGAUCCCUUGGCGUCAAAGAUGUACCGUAUUCACACCUGCUUCCUAAACAUGGAUUUUAGGCGGGGGAGGGAGUAGCGCAUGAAAAGCCAGCAGUGUUCCUCAGCCUGGCUUUUUCACUCUGUUAAAUGCACAUAAAGAUGCACAGUGUUGGGUAAGAGAGAGGACCUUCGUCCACGUCCGACUAUUGACUGCUUUAGGAUGUGUCUUGAGGGAUCUUUUCCGGAGCUUGUUGAUU